AGAGUUUGAUCCUGGCUCAGAAUGAACGUUGGCGGCGUGGAUUAGGCAUGCGAGUCGUGCGCGAAUCGUAGCAAUACGAGGAAAGCGGCGAAAGGGAGAGGAAUACGUAGAAAUCUACCCUCGGGACUGGGAUAGCGGCGGGAAACUGCCGGUAAUACCAGAUAAUGUUUCCGAACCAAAGGUGUGAUUCCGCCUGAGGAUGAGUCUACGUCCUAUUAGCUAGUUGGCGGGGUAAUGGCCCACCAAGGCGACGAUGGGUAGCAGGUGUGAGAGCACGACCUGCCUCAUUGGGACUGAGACACUGCCCAGACACCUACGGGUGGCUGCAGUCGAGAAUCUUCGGCAAUGGACGAAAGUCUGACCGAGCGACGCCGCGUGCGGGAUGAAGGCCCUCGGGUUGUAAGCCGCUGUCGUAGGGGAACAAAUCUAUGGGGGUUCUCCCUUGUAGUUGAGUGA
rnacentral:rRNA from 1 species